UACGACGGGGGCUAGCGUUGUUCGGAAUCACUGGGCGUAAAGCGCACGUAGGCGGCGCGUUAAGUCAGGGGUGAAAUCCUGGAGCUCAACUCCAGAACUGCCUUUGAUACUGGCGUGCUCGAGUGUGGGAGAGGUUGGUGGAACUCCGAGUGUAGAGGUGAAAUUCGUAGAUAUUCGGAAGAACACCAGUGGCGAAGUCGGCCAACUGGCCCAUUACUGACGCUGAGGUGCGAAAGCGUGGGGAGCAAACAGG
rnacentral:rRNA from 1 species